rnacentral:rRNA from 1 species
AUGCUAGGCCAACGUUUUUGUGACAGGAGGAAGAGCUCACGUCUUUGGAGGAUGAGAAUUGACAGGCCACAUAAGAAUGUUGCAUGGUACACUGAGAUUAUGAUUCUUGAAGAUGCUCUCCGAUCUCUUGACAGAACUCCUAAAAAAGUGCUCAGUUCAGGAGCCAACGCAAGUGAAAAAGUGUUUGCUAAUGUUCUGAUGCCUCCGGUUACCGCGUUAUGUCCAUACAUAUCUCUCCCGUUCGUUUACCAUGGUAUACACUCUGUUUUUAUGGUUGGUACCUAUCUUAUGAAUCGCUAG